CAGUCACUAUUAUUAUUAUUUUGUAGGUUAAAGCUCAUCCUCUAUAUUAACGUUCUACCUCUAGUAAUGAUAAGAUUUGAACCUAGCAACAAAGUUAGGCUAAGAAACUUCUACGCUCCUCUCAAUUAGUUCUUAGAAAUGGAAUAUAAAUAUGUCUUAAAUUUAGAAGGAAGCAGGAGUCCUAACUUCCACACGUACAAUUCAGAGACUGUUCAUUACACCUUUUCAAUUCAACGCUCUAUUUCUUUCGCUGAUUACCCAAAUGUCAAAAAUACUACAGCACACUUCCUUCCUGUCGAUUCUCAAGAGCUUUAACCUUGACUGGUGUAAUCACCCCAGGCAAAUAUUGUCUUAUGAAGUGGAGGAAAUGGUAAGGUACAAAGAAAUCCAAGCAGGAUUGGGUUUGCGAUGGGAAAAGGCGAGGUGGUUUCACUUUCUUUCGGAACAGAAGAAGGGAAAGGACCGGGGGGCACGCGCUAUAAUUCAUAACUUGUUGGGUUUUAUCCUGCUUUCAGGUCACUGGAGUUUGCCCCACGAAAAAGGAAUUGUGGAUCUGAAACCUAAAUAACUUCAGCAAUCCACAUACUGCUGAGAUUUUGAAGUUGCUUGCAACUACUACUACACAGAGUCAAGAAUUGUACUGUAUCUUGGCUGGAUCAGAAAUGCUUCCUCCUGAAAGAAAUGGGUCAGACUGAAUAAUGUCUAAAGAACCUUUUGAGUCUUACGGUAACAACAUGUAAUUCUGUUAAAGCGGAUUCAAAAAAAACUAUGUGACUGACUAAGAAGGGAGAGACUGAGUUUUCUGAUUUGUGAGUUUUAGAUGUGGUACUGGAUUCUGCCCCUUCCACCCUUCCUUCUUUUGGGAGCCAGCUGGCCUUCAGAGAACAAACCUCAAGGUCCACUUCAUGCCCAGGAUGACCAGUAGUUGUCCAGUGCUGCUCGUGAUUCUGAUGGUUGCCUGAGGUAAAAGGCUGCAGUCGAAAAUCACUGUAAUGAGACUAACUGGCUCAUAGGAGAAUCCAACUUGCCACAUAAGCCUUCCUGGUGUUAUGUGCUAACCACUGAGCUCAACGGUCAAGAGGGAGACCUCACCAGAAACCAAAAUGGAAUUCACACAAGAAGUACAGUGCCUUGUGGAGUUGAAUUGUAGUCCACUUUCCCUGAUGAGACAGCACAUCUUAUCUAAGUAUUGCAGAUGUUUCUCAAAUGACCUAAUAAAUAUUAGAAUAUCAUCUAGGUAAAUGAGGUAAAUAUGUCAUUGGAAUCUUGCAGCCUUCCAUAAUUAAAUGCAACACACCAGCUACUUAUUUUCUUUCUAGUGAGCUAAACUUGACUAGCUGGAAUCAGCAACAUAUUCUGAUAAUAUUCUUUCCUAAGGAAACUGGGAUCUGUUCACGUUGGCCGGGGUGGGAGUUUGAAGGGGGAAGGUGGUUACCUAAUUAAUAUGAUAUAGCUUAAUUAAUUCUGCAGCCUUAGAGCAUGGAUGGGACCCCAGAUUUCAAAUGUAAGAUAUCAAAACAAUCAGGCUAGAACUCUAGAGGGCAUGACAUUUCAUACAACCUUCAGUUCUUUAAGCUGCAUCCAAGCUCCUGGCAUAUUCAGGAUUUAGAAAAGAUAGUUCUUGUAAUUUUUGUGGAUUUAAUGUAGUACAAAUUUACAUACAAAGAGAGACUAAAUAGGCACAGUUUUAUUUCUGUUACUUUUUCAGUGGUAUAGCAUCAAAGGAAAACCAAUUUAGCAAAAACAUUAGGUUCUUCAUUAAGUUCAGAAAUGGGUUAUCCAAUUAUAUAUACUUUUAUAUUAUAUAUAUUUUGUUUUUCUACAUAUAUUUAUAAGAAUUGAGAUGUAAUUGACAUAUAACAUUAUAUUAGUUUCUGUUGUACAAGAUUUGAUAUUUGUAUAUGUAAAAAAUGAUCACCACAACAAACCUAUUUUCAUAUUUAUCUGUCCAAUUUUACUCUCAAUAUCUGACGAACAGGGUUAAAGCAUAAAUCUUUGUAUAAACAGCAUUAAAUAUAGUGCCAAGUAGAGAGUAGGUACUCAACAUAUAUUAUGAAAGGAAUGAAAGAUUGGGCUUCUAUAUAAUAAUACAAAAUCACUAAUAAAAUUAAAAUAUGACUAUUCGCAUUUACUCAUUCUUUUUUAUAUGCCCACGAAUCAAAAUUUGUAUGUGUUACCCUUAAAAUUGAAUUAGUUCAGCCUAUAAAGUCUACUGAAAAACCUGGGAAACAUGGGGAAUAUAUGCACUAGUAUUUACUAAUAAAACUGUUUCUUCCAAUACUGAAGUGGACAGAUUUUCCUAUAGGUGACCCAUUCUCAUCAGUUCUUAACAUUGGUCGUUCUAACAUUGGCCUAGUAUCAUCUCAACAGAAUAUGCA